GAGAGCUCCCGAGCGGGGGUCAGAGUGCUUGUCCUUGGGGCUCAGCGAGCGGGAUGAGUGCUUGUCCCUGGGGCUCAGUGAGCGGGCUUCAGAGUGCUUGUCCCUGGGGCUCAGUGAGCGGGAUUGAGUGCUUGUCCCUGGGGCUCAGUGAGCAGGGUUCAGAGUGCUUGUCCCUGGGGCUCAGUGAGCGUAAUGAGUGCUUGUCCCUGGGGCUCAGUGAGCGGGAUGAGUGCUUGUCCCUGGGGCUUAGUGAGCGGGAUUGAGUGCUUGUCCCUGGGGCUCAGUGAGCGGGAUUGAGUGCUUGUCCCUGGGGCUCAGUGAGCGGGGUUCAGAGUGCUUGUCCCUGGGGCUCAGUGAGCAGGGUUCAGAGUGCUUGUCCCUGGGGCUCAGUGAGCGGGAUUGAGUGCUUGUCCCUGGGGCUCAGUAAACGGAGUUCAGAGUGCUUGUCCCUGGGGCACAGUGAGCGGGGUUCAGAGUGCUUGUCCCUGGGGCUCAGUGAGCGGGAUUGAGUGCUUGUCCCUGGGGCUCAGUGAGCGGGAUUGAGUGCUUGUCCCUGGGGCUCAGUGAGCAGGGUUCAGAGUGCUUGUCCCUGGGGCUCAGUGAGCGGGAUUAAGUGCUUGUCCCUGGGGCUCAGUGCGCAGGAUUAAGUGCUGCCCCUGGGGCUCAGUGAGCGGGGUUCAAAGUGCUUGUCCCUGGGGCUCAGUGAGCGGGGUUCAGAGUGCUUGUCCCUGGGGCUCAGUGAACAUCCCAGCAAGGCUGUAGUCAGAACAUAGAAACAUUCUGUGAAUGAGACGUUGUAUGUUCAGAUUUUAUAAAAGCCGUUUUUAAACAAGCCCAAUUUACAGCCGUAUAUUUUCUUAUGAUGUAAUUUAUGAAAAAGAUGUCUGUUCUAACAGGUGCUCUAACACCACUGUUGUUGGGUUUUAUUGUUUGGUGAUAAAUGUGUACAAUCUUUCUAUGGGAAACUGUGUACUGUGAUGUAAAGUCUGGGCAAAAUGUACAUAAUCCUUGUAUAUAAUUGUGUAUUUGAUUAUAAUUACUGAUUGUAAAGAUUUAAUAAAACAUGUAAAUACUUGGGUCUAGUUUUACUG
rnacentral:lncRNA from 1 species